rnacentral:sRNA from 14 species
GGUCCAGAAGGGUGAAGUCAUAACCACAACCAUAGCAACACCCGUUCCUCCUGCCCAACAGCCCCCGAACCGGCGGCUUGUUAGGAGGAGGGUAUAAGAUACUGUUGUUGUAGCC